CAGUAGCCGCGGGAAUACAGAGGGUGCAAGCGUUAAUCGGAAUUACUGGGCGUAAAGCGCGCGUAGGUGGUUUGUUAAGUUGGAUGUGAAAGCCCCGGGCUCAACCUGGGAACUGCAUCCAAAACUGGCAAGCUAGAGUACGGUAGAGGGUGGUGGAAUUUCCUGUGUAGCGGUGAAAUGCGUAGAUAUAGGAAGGAACACCAGUGGCGAAGGCGACCACCUGGACUGAUACUGACACUGAGGUGCGAAAGCGUGGGGAGCAAACAGGAUUAGAUACCCGCGUAGUCCCUGUCUCUUAUAA
rnacentral:rRNA from 1 species